AAAUUGAAGAGUUUGAUCAUGGCUCAGAUUGAACGCUGGCGGCAGGCCUAACACAUGCAAGUCGAACGGUAACAGGAAGCAGCUUGCUGCUUCGCUGACGAGUGGCGGACGGGUGAGUAAUGUCUGGGAAACUGCCUGAUGGAGGGGGAUAACUACUGGAAACGGUGGCUAAUACCGCAUAACGUCGCAAGACCAAAGAGGGGGACCUUCGGGCCUCUUGCCAUCAGAUGUGCCCAGAUGGGAUUAGCUUGUUGGUGAGGUAACGGCUCACCAAGGCGACGAUCCCUAGCUGGUCUGAGAGGAUGACCAGCCACACUGGAACUGAGACACGGUCCAGACUCCUACGGGAGGCAGCAGUGGGGAAUAUUGCACAAUGGGCGCAAGCCUGAUGCAGCCAUGCCGCGUGUAUGAAGAAGGCCUUCGGGUUGUAAAGUACUUUCAGCGGGGAGGAAGGUGUUGUGGUUAAUAACCGCAGCAAUU
rnacentral:rRNA from 1 species